rnacentral:rRNA from 1 species
AUGGAGAAACAGAGCAGCCAAGAACUUUCGAUCGAAAAUAAGAGCGCUGGUUUCAGUAGGGUGGAGAAACCUAAGGUGGCAGAGAUUCAGCUUCAACUUCUACCCUAUGUAAGGAUCGCAAUGCCUUAUUUACGUCGGGACGUUUUGCGCGACAUACUGUCACGGUUGUCAAUCAAGGAUGUCGUGAGGAUGAGCACGCUUUCUGGUGAAUGGAGACAGCAGCGGAUAUGCCACCCAGAUCUGGUCUUCACCAAAGACACCUUUGGCAUCAGUACUGACCCAGAUCCGGACUUCACCAAAACCAUUAAUGCCAUCAUUAGAGACACGGAUGCUAAACGAGCAUCCUGGACUGCUGAAUUCAUCUUCAAUGUGGAGAGUGUAUUGCGCCCACUGUGGUCUACUUCUACUACAACUACGACUACGCUGGACAAGUUUGCUGUUGAAUUUGGUCUCCGCAGAAAGCAUAAGUAUUACAUUGAUAGAUGGGUUAGCUUUUCCAUUGCGUCAAGGGCCAAGCACAUUGCUUUCGAUUUCACAUUUGAUGUCGAUUGCGCUGGCCCUGGAUGUGACCAGUACAAGGAUGUUUUCCCGCUGUGCAAGCUCAGUGGCCCAAGCGGCUCUUGUGUCACAUCUCUUGUUCUGGGCUAUGUAUGGUUAAAGCUGCCCCCCAGUUUCUGCGGUAUCACAAACCUUAGGAAACUUACACUAAAAACGGUGUUCAUCAGUGAAGGUGAUCUCCAGUGCCUGUUGCUAAGUUGUGCUCUUCUCGAGCAUAUAAACAUAGAGUGGUGCUCCCCCUUGUCAAGUUUACGCAUAGGGCAGGAACUGUGCAGGUUGCAGUACCUGCGUGUGCGCCGUUCUGAACUGGAAAUGUUAGAGUUGCAUGCUCCAAAUCUUACCAAAUUUGAGUUCGACGAAGAUCUCGCACAAAUUGUGCUCAGUGAUUGCUUGAGGUUGUCGGAGGCAACCUUUGUAUCAAACAUGAGGACUCAAGAGUUCAAUGAUUAUGAUUUCGAUGACUUGGCCUUCACCUUCACCGAGCUUGCUCUUCCUCAUGUGCAAAAACUAUUUCUACUUUUGAAUUUGGAUCAGGUGCUAAGAUUCAGUGAAAACCAGAAUAGCUUCAUCAAUUUGAGGCAUCUGAACAUGAACCUUGAGAUCGGGUGGGAUCCAUAUGAUGAUAGUUGGGCAAUAGGGUUUGUUCAUCUUUUGCAAUUAUCACCUCUCUUAGAAGAAUUAGAACUGCAUGUUGGUCGUGAUAGAUUUUGCCCUCCUACUAUGAGGAUGGUGACAGCUGCGCAAGGGCCUCUGCAUCAUCACCUCAAGAGUGUCCACAUGUCUGGAUUUUGUGAUGUAUUGGGGCUAGCUGAGCUGGCGCUCUACAUCCUUGGGAAUGCUACUGUACUUCAACGUAUGGUGGUAGAUCCAGUGGCGUAUGCCGAGACUCUUCACACUGAUGAUAUCUAUUCAGUCAGCAAGGCUGGUAGUAUCGAGGGGGACCAUUACCAUGCCGAUCAGAAUAGGAUGUUUGCAGAGCAAAUCCUUGGCAGCGAGGAGUUCCGUCAUAUCGUCACCAUUUUGUGA